ACAAUGUAUUCCUACAAUGAAUUUUACGCAUCUGAUACUGGAUCUCCUUCAAAAACAGCUGAAUUAUAUCCCCAGUGAAGCACAUGCCUUUUUAAGGAUCCAGUAAAUCAAUACAACCAUGUGCAAUUGCAAGGCCUUGUAUUGAAAUGCCACUGGAGAUUACUGUGUACAGUUUGGCAGUUGGAACCCCCUUGUUGCUGACUAAUAAGAUAUUUUUCCAUCACAAAAGGAUAUUCAGAUUCCAUCAAACUUAGUUUUGGCAGAAUAUUGCAACCAAGCUAACUGGAAAGAGAUCAUGAGCAUGUACAAAUGAAAUAGCGCACAGAGCUUCUACUUUUACUUGCUACCAUCCCUUGCUUCCUAUCGAGGAAAUUAAACUAAGAAGCUUCACUGCAGGCACUACCAAAAUUCAAUAUUUUCUACCAAUUUGCAAGCAGCACUCAAAAGACCUUAAAGAUUGAUAACUAUGCACAAAAGCGAACAACCAAUGUAAGCAUUACAUCAAAUGAUGAAAAAGAUACCAGAAGAACGGAGCACAGCAAAUUCAAUUAGGCAUCCACAUAAACUCCCAAAAAUUUUGCCCCGUCCAAUUGCUAUAAAAGAAUGCACAGAUUCUAAUAGUGAUAACGUAAUCCACAAAUUAUUUCAAACCAUUAAAAAAAAAAUCAAGACAUCGAAAUACAAAAAUUCAAAUAGUCUCAAAAAUUAAACCUACCUCGUCUUCAGCAUUG
rnacentral:misc_RNA from 1 species